GACGAACGCUGGCGGCGUGCCUAAUACAUGCAAGUAGAACGCUGAAGGAGGAGCUUGCUUCUCUGGAUGAGUUGCGAACGGGUGAGUAACGCGUAGGUAACCUGCCUGGUAGCGGGGGAUAACUAUUGGAAACGAUAUCUAAUACCGCAUAAUAGUAGAUGUCGCAUGACAUUUGCUUCAAAGGUGCAAUUGCAUCACUACCAGAUGGACCUGCGUUGUAUUAGCUAGUUGGUGAGGUAACGGCUCACCAAGGCAACGAUACAUAGCCGACCUGAGAGGGUGAUCGGCCACACUGGGACUGAGACACGGCCCAGACUCCUACGGGAGGCAGCAGUAGGGAAUCUUCGGCAAUGGACGGAAGUCUGACCGAGCAACGCCGCGUGAGUGAAGAAGGUUGUCGGAUCGUAAAGCUCUGUUGUAAGAGAAGAACGAGUGUGAGAGUGGAAAGUUCACACUGUGACGGUAUCUUACCAGAAAGGGACGGCUAACUACGUG
rnacentral:rRNA from 1 species